GUGGUGGUGGUUGUGAUGGUUGUGGUGGCGGUGGUGGUGAAUUUGAGCAUACUCACUCUCUCAUCAUUCCUAUGAACAACCCUUGUGGAGGGAUGAGUGCAGAGGCAGAGAGAUCUUCGUCUGAAUUACACAACCCGCGUCAGUUUAGUGGCUUUCUUCAUUUGGAGGAAGAGACUCAGAUGGAGGAUGCCAUUCGCAGGGCUAUCAACAGCCUUUCACCUCAUGAUUUAAACUGUUUGCUCAAUAAUGAUUAUGAUGAUGAGGAACAGGGGAACACUCAAGAGUGAGCAAUGCUCCGGGAACCAAUAUUGAUACAUCCGAGAAGAAGAAGAUGAACCCCGUAUG